GCAGAAUUGGCUGCGAGAUAGAGGGGAGAAAGGAAUGAUGAAGCCGGUGUUCACCUCUCAAGAAAAAGGCACUGGUGUAUUGGCAAUGUUAGACUGCUCAAAAUUAAAGAUGCAGUUUUAUGUUUCCUUACUUGUUUUGCCUGUCAGAUGUGCUGUGGGAUGCCCAGGCUGCACAGAGCAUAAGGAGUGUGCUGCAACCACGGUCCAAGUGCUGGUGCUUGCUCAUGAUCAGAGUUGGGGAGCAGAGCAGGCUGGGCAAGUGACACUUGCUCUUGCCAGUAUCAAGCCUGUUUGCUUGCAUACCUGGCUUUUCAAGAGGCUGCAGCCCUGAGGAACAAGGCUAAAACCUGCCUGCAAAUAGCUCAUGGUGCAAGGGAGGACUUGGGCAUGGCUCUGAGGGGUGACACACUCUCAAGUAACACACCAGCGAGGCAGAGGGUAGCUCUAGCGAAUUCCCCCUCUCCCAGCUUUCCCUUUGGAGUGUUGGGAUGUUUGGUUUUCACUUUGCUGUGGGAUGCAGCUGCCUGGGGUAGGGCUGUGCUGUGUGAGGUGCUUUACACAUCCCUGCCCUGGGCAGGGUGUUGCAGGUGAAAGCCGGACAUGCAAGUAACAGGAGUAGAGUGAAUGUGAUCUCCAUUAUGUGUUUUCCAGGAAUACCCAUGAGUCCUCUUGGACCAGGCUCCUUCAUUGUCCAAGACACUGUUCAAAUACAUCCUGUUUUCCUGAGUUUACGAUCUAACCCCCAAAUUCUUGAAAUGUUCAACUCUAGGCAGCAAUAAUCUGCACCUUCUUAGCCAGAGGUAUGUUGGGGACCACCCCAAGGUGCUGCUGGAACAGUGGGGAGGCCAUUCUGAGCUGCUGCCUGGCAUGGCUAAUGCAGGCACAUCCCUCCCUGCCAAAGGCCAGCAGCUGUCAGAGCAAGCUGAAGAAAUGGCUAACUGUGUGAGUGAGAAUUCCUAAAGUGAAACACUUUCUCCCAUGCAGAGUGCAGCAAGGCCUCUCAUCACUUCUCCCACCCAGCAUUAAUUAAGCAUAUGGCAGGGGCAGAGAUCUUGACUGUCCUGGGAGCCUUGGACUAGUUGUGGCCAGUAAUCAUGUGGCUCUUCUGUGCUGGCAAAGGAUAAACUACACAGAAGCUCCUACAUAAAUCUUGGCUCUGAAUGAGGAAGAAAAUACUGGUUUAUAAUUAUCUUCAAAUUUGUUGCUGAAAAGACCAGGCAGGGUUGGGAGGAUGAACACUGCAGGACUAUGAGACAGUAAGGCACUGGGGUCACUUCCUUUCCCUGGUUGCACAUUUGACCCUGCACUUGACCCAUUACAUGGAGCCUAGGGCCUGGCCUGGAUUUGAAACUUGUUGUUUUAAAGAACAGGAAGGAGAAAAAAAAUCUGGGUUUUAUGGUCGUGGUUUUGGAAAGCCCUGUUUUUUUCUGUGCAUUUUUCCAGUGCUGACUGAGAGGAGGCUUGGUGAGCAGGUACAGACCUGGAAAUCAGGCUGCUUGCUCUGCAGUGUGGCGUUGCUGCCAGUUUCCCACAAGGGCUUGCACAAACCCAGCAAGUUUGCAUGUGUGUUGUUUUUUUAAAAAAAAGCAGAAAAGUAAGUUGCUUCUGUCAGGGUGGCUUCGCAAGGCUGAAAGCAUUGCACCAUUUUGAGAGUGAAGGCAGUACUUUGCCUCUCACUCCUGUACUCAGUUACUGUUUCUCACAGAAGGCAGUCUGCAGUGGGGGGUGAGCAGAGUAUGUGCCAGCUGUGCAGCAGCAGCACAGCUACUCUGUUGCCUGUAGCAUUUUUAUUUCUGUUGAUGUGAGAGCUGGAAGGGAUCGGGUGUGAUUUUCAGGUGCUGGGCUAUGUUUGCAGGUCUGCCUGUUACAAGGGCUGGGUUCAUCUGCCCGGACACAACGGGCAGAGGAAAUGUAAGACAAAUCUAUAAGGCUUUUCCCUCAGCUAUCCCACACAAAGAUGUGGUGUUUGCAAUUUAUGAACUGGACAUUGCUUCAAGUGCAUUCUAUUGAAUUGUAUCCUGAAAAACAAAUUCCAGGUUUGGAGCUGCUGGAGCUUUGGGACUGGUCUGGCCAGAGCUAUGCAAGUGCAAGGGACUAGUUUGAGAGUCAUCACGGAUUCUCCUAAGGCAAACCUGUCUGUUGGUGUAAUGUCAGUGCAACCAGAUGAAUCACAGCCCAAGUUUUUAUCCUGAGAACUACUAGCUCAGCUUUUUUUCCCCAUCAGCUCAUAAUUUUACAAGAUGAAAUCCCACCGUGUUAAUAUGUAGUAUAGAAUCAAUCAGUUGGUUGUUAAGACUCAUUUGGAGUUGGUGAUUUGGACAAUUGGUUUUGGGUGAGCUGCCAGUGUAUGUUUGCUGUGUUGCCAUUCAAUGUCAACCCUCCCGUUGCAUUCUGUAAGAGCUUCCAUUAAUUUCAGUAGAAAUCUGCAUUUGGGGUGAAGGGUGACCUAAUCUUUAGAAAGGAUCUUAAUCCACUUAGCCUUUCUUGCAAAGCUCAGCGUUUUUUCCUUGUCAGGAGCAGACUGCAUUCCUAACCUUGAUGUGUCACUUUCCAGUUGGCUUAAUAUUUGGGUGAGGAUAAAAAGGAAAUGUUGUUCAAAGAUUAAAAGAACCCAUGCUGCUAAGGUAUGUGCACGUGUGAUAUGCAAGUAUAAAAAAAAAGAAGAUAUGAGCAUAAUUGUGUUUGGGUGGUGGAAACAAGAUAUAAUAACAUCAGCAGAUGACUAUGGAAAACAAGUACAGGAAGAGGUAAAUCCAUCUGAAACAGUGUAAAUGGGAAAUUAUGAGGGAAGAGGAAAUGGGGCUGAAAUGUUGUUUAAUGUAAAUUUAAGUGCAAGACAAAAAUAGGACUCUUGUAAGUUUGACCUGUAAACGUCUCUUCCCAGGGGCCUGAGGGCAGCCAGGAAAAAUACAGUCUCUGAUACAAAUACAAGACCUAGUGCCCAUGCCUUGUGUUUGUUCUCACACAGUAUGGAUGAGGAGUUCAUUCCCUGUUUCACAGGUGGACUUGUUUAGCACGUGUAUAGGCAUACACCUGCUCAACAGGCAGGGAACAAAGUACUUUGCAGGUGGACUGAUUAGAGAGAUACAUGCUGCCUCACUGGGAAUAGCACCCUCUCAGGAGACAGAUGUUCCUACCUUUCUGUUGCACUAGUCUGAUUUGGAGAUCCGUGUAUGAGACAGGUAAGUAAACGGAUAUCUUUCAGAAAUGAGAGUAUAGUAAAAAGUAUCAUUUUUUAGGGAUGCUAUGUAUAAGGGUAUUGCCAAAUGCCUGCUGUUGAGCCACUGGUACUGAAGGCCUUGUCAAGAAGUCACAUGUGAUGGUAGCAGCUCCUCCAGUGGUUACUGCUGUUUCCUUCAUUUAGAGAGUCCUUUCUGCACCCCAGGAUAAAUCCCCAAGGACUGGUUAGCAAUAGCAUAGUUGUUACCUAACAAUAACUUUGGGGAAUCUGAAUUAUCCCUGCAGAUUGGAUUCCAUCCAGAAGCUUAGAUCUGGUUGCCCUUGGGGUAUCCUGAUGUGCCUUCAUGGUGGGUUUCCACUGAGAGCCAUCUCAGGCGAUGGAUGUGCAGAUCUAUCAUAGGUGUGCUGGAACUAAAGCAGAUGGAUAUCCCUGGGAAAGUCAAUGGACUGUGCAGGGUAAUCAAGAACCUCAUCUGAGUAGAACUGAAGAAUACUGAGAUUAAUGUUAAGAAACCUGAAGGGCAAGAAUCAGAACAAUGCCUUCACCUCCUUUUUAAAAAAUUUGAAGAAAGCUUUCAAGUUACAAUAUAUUUUGGACUUCUUUUUCCAAUGAAAAUGAGGCUUAUGUGAUCA